rnacentral:tRNA from 1 species
GCCGAGGUCGCCUAGUCCGGUAGGGCGCCAGCUUGGAGAGCUGGUGGUCGCAAGGCCCCGGGAGUUCAAAAGGCUCCCGCCGCU